CAAUAGCGUAUAUUAAAGUUGUUGCGGUUAAAAAGCUCGUAGUUGGAUCUCGGCAGGUAGGGAGCGGUUCGAUGUUUGUCGCUACUGCUCCAUCUUCCUGUGAAUGUUGUGGCGGAGGUGCUGGGGUGCUCUUAAUCGAGUGUCCCGGUGCGCCGUCAGGUUUACUUUGAAAAAAUUAGAGUGCUCAAAGCAGGCUUUACACGCUCGGAUAUUCGUGCAUGGAAUAAUGGAAUAGGACGUCGUUUCUAUUUUGUUGGUUUUCGGAAAUCGACGUAAUGAUUAAUAGGGACAGUCGGGGGCAUUAGUAUUCAGACGACAGAGGUGAAAUUCUUGGACCGUCUGAAGACUAACUACUGCGAAAGCAUUUGCCAAGAAUGUUUUCAUUAA
rnacentral:rRNA from 1 species